AUGCUCACUUUGGAGGCACAAAUACUAAAACUGGAAUGAUAGAGAAAAGAUUAGCAUGGUCCCUGUGCAAAGAUGACAUGCAAAUUUAUGAAGCAUUCAAUUUUUUA